rnacentral:misc_RNA from 1 species
GCCUUUUAUUGUUUUUGCAUCCAGACACCUUUAUUUCUUUGCACUCUUAAAGCAGGGGAGCAAAAGAUUAAAGAAAUUGAAAAAAGAAAAUUGUUGAUCAUGCAUAACCAUUUAACAAACUUGGUGACAUACAAAACAUCAAACCUUAUUUGAUGGAAAUUGAUUUAUACUGCUGCAUUGUGCUCGUUAUAGCUUGUUCAACAGGAAUUCUCUCCAUGCUUGACGCACCAUAAAAUCCAUGAACUCCCUUGGUUCUCUUCAAUACGAAUUCUGCUUCUCUAGGACCAGAUAUAGGACCUCCAUGGCAAAGCACAAUGAUGUUGGGGUUGAUAUUAUGUGCAGCGUCUGCAAUAGCUUGCACACGAAACACACUCUCUUCCAAUGAUACUGCUGUUUUUGCACCAAUAGACCCAGACGUAGUAAGCCCCAUAUGGGCCACAAUGAUAUCAGCACCAGCUUUUGCCAUUUCCCCUGCUUCAUUUUGGUUAAAAGCAUAGGGGGUUGUGAGAAGACCCAUUUUAUGAGCUUUUUCAAUCAUUUGGACUUCCAAGCCAUAUCCCAUUCCUGUCUCUUCCAGAUUCUGUCUAAAAUUACCAUCAAAUAGCCCAACAGUAGGAAAAUUUUGCACACCAGAGAAUCCAAUUGACUCCAGCUGCUUUAGGAAGUAAUCCAUUCGGCGAAAAGGAUCAGUUCCGCAUACUCCAGCAAGAACUGGUACCCCCUUCACAAUUGGUAAAACUUCAUUAGCCAUUUCAAUUACUAUAGCAUUUGCAUCAGCAAAUGGCAAUAAGCCUGCUAAGGAACCCCUUCCUGCCAUGCGAAAACGCCCUGAAUUGUAAAGUACUAUUAAAUCAACUCCACCAGCUUCCUCAAAUUUUGCAGAUAUCCCAGUCCCUGCACCAGCUCCUAUUAUGGGCAAUCCUUUUUCUAUUUGAUCUUUCAAUUGCUGCAAUAUUGUCUGAGUUUUCUGCAAAGUUUCUGGUCUUGCAUCUGGGUAGUUGCUUGGGCUGUAACAGAUCAUCCCACAGCUUGAUGAUUUCACAGUAGAAAUGUUAUGCUCUAGGCAGGGUUCAUAAAUAGCAAUUUGGGAAGGACUGGAUUCCAUAGGGUUCUCCAAACUAAUCUCUAAAAA